CCGGUGAUCUAGCCAUGGGCAGGUUGAAGGUUGGGUAACACUAACUGGAGGACCGAACCGACUAAUGUUGAAAAAUUAGCGGAUGACUUGUGGCUGGGGGGGAAAGGCCAAUCAAACCGGGAGAUAGCUGGUUCUCCCCGAAAGCUAUUUAGGUAGCGCCUCGUGAAUUCAUCUCCGGGGGUAGAGCACUGUUUCGGCAAGGGGGUCAUCCCGACUUACCAACCCGAUGCAAACUGCGAAUACCGGAGAAUGUUAUCACGGGAGACACACGGCGGGUGCUAACGUCCGUCGUGAAGAGGGAAACAACCCAGACCGCCAGCUAAGGUCCCAAAGUCAUGGUUAAGUGGGAAACGAUGUGGGAAGGCCCAGACAGCCAGGAUGUUGGCUUAGAAGCAGCCAUCAUUUAAAGAAAGCGUAAUAGCUCACUGGUCGAGUCGGCCUGCGCGGAAGAUGUAACGGGGCUAAACCAU
rnacentral:rRNA from 1 species